UACGGAGGAUCCAAGCGUUAUCCGGAAUCAUUGGGUUUAAAGGGUCCGUAGGCGGUUUUGUAAGUCAGUGGUGAAAGCCCAUCGCUCAACGGUGGAACGGCCAUUGAUACUGCAAGACUUGAAUUAUUGGGAAGUAACUAGAAUAUGUAGUGUAGCGGUGAAAUGCUUAGAGAUUACAUGGAAUACCAAUUGCGAAGGCAGGUUACUACUAAUAUAUUGACGCUGAUGGACGAAAGCGUGGGGAGCGAACAGG
rnacentral:rRNA from 1 species